rnacentral:rRNA from 1 species
UACGUAGGGUGCAAGCGUUGUCCGGAAUUAUUGGGCGUAAAGAGCUCGUAGGCGGUCUGUCGCGUCUGCUGUGAAAACCUAGGGCUUAACUCUGGGCGUGCAGUGGGUACGGGCAGGCUAGAGUGCGGUAGGGGAGACUGGGAAUUCCUGGUGUAGCGGUGAAAUGCGCAGAUAUCAGGAGGAACACCGGUGGCGAAGGCGGGUCUCUGGGCCGUAACUGACGCUGAGGAGCGAAAGCAUGGGGAGCGAACAGG